GACGAACGCUGGCGGCGUGCCUAAUACAUGCAAGUAGAACGCUGAAGGAGGAGCUUACUUCUCUGGAUGAGUUGCGAACGGGUGAGUAACGCGUAGGUAACCUGCCUGGUAGCGGGGAAUAACUAUUGGAAACGAUAGCUAAUACCGCAUAAGAGUAGAUGUUGCAUGACAUUUACUUAAAAGGUGCAAUUGCACCACUACCAGAUGGACCUGGGUUGUAUUAGCUAGUUGGUGGGGUAACGGCUUACCAAGGCGAGGAUACAUAGCCGACCUGAGAGGGUGAUCGGCCACACUGGGACUGAGACACGGCCCAGACUCCUACGGGAGGCAGCAGUAGGGAAUCUUCGGCAAUGGACGGAAGUCUGACCGAGCAACGCCGCGUGAGUGAAGAAGGUUUUCGGAUCGUAAAGCUCUGUUGUAAGAGAAGAACGAGUGUGAGAGUGGAAAGUUCACACUGUGGCGGUAUCUUACCAGAAAGGGACGGCUAACUACGUGCCAGCAGCCGCAGUAA
rnacentral:rRNA from 1 species